AUUGAACGCUGGCGGCAGGCCUAACACAUGCAAGUCGAGCGGAUGAAGAGAGCUUGCUUCUGGAUUCAGCUGCGGACGGGCGAGUAAUUCCUAGAUAUCUCCCUGGUAGUGGGGGCUAACGUGCGGAAAUGGGCGAUAAUACGGUAAACGUCCUGAGGGACUACGUGUGGGAUCUGCGGAUCUUGCGCUAUCAGAUGAUCCUAAGUGGGAUUAUCUACUUGGUGAGGUAAAGGCCUAACAAGGCGACGAACCGUAACUGGUCAGCACGGAUGAUCAGGCACACUCGAACUGAGACAAGGUUCAGACUCCUAAGGGAGGCAGGCGUGGGGAAUAUUGGACAAUGGGCGAAAGCCUGAUCCAGCCAUGCCGCGUGUGUGAAGAAGGCCUUCGGGUUGUAAAGCGCUUUAGGUUGGAAAGAAAAGCAGUAGGUUAAUACCUUGCUGUUUUGACGGUACCAACAGAAUAAGCACCGGCUAACUUCGUG
rnacentral:rRNA from 1 species